rnacentral:rRNA from 1 species
GACGAACGCUGGCGGCGUGCUUAACACAUGCAAGUCGAACGGAAAGGCCCUGCUUUUGUGGGGUGCUCGAGUGGCGCACGGGUGAGUAACACGUGAGUAACCUGACCUUUGCUUUGGGAUAACUUCAGGAAACUGGGGAUAAUACCGGAUAGGAGCUCCUGAUGCCUGGUGGGGGUUGGACAGUUUCGGCGGGUGGGGAUGGACUCGGGGCUUAUCAGCUUGUUGGUGGAGUAGUGGCCUACCAAGGCUUUGACGGGUAGUCGGCCUGAGAGGGUGACCGGGCACAUUGGGCCUGAGGGAGGGAGCAGUGGCCAAUGGGAGGCAGUAGGGGGGAAUAUGGCACAGUGGGGGGGAGUCUGAUGUGGCGACGUCCGGUGCGGGAUGAAGGCUUUGGGGUUGUAAACCGGAUUGGCCUGUGACGAAGGGUGAGUGACGGUAAUGGGUAAAGAAGCACCGGCUAACUACGUG